rnacentral:rRNA from 1 species
CCUACGGGAGGCAGCAGUGAGGAAUAUUGGUCAAUGGGCGGAAGCCUGAACCAGCCAAGUAGCGUGCAGGAUGACGGCCCUACGGGUUGUAAACUGCUUUUAUACGGGAAUAACGCGCCUUACGUGUAGGGCUUUGCAUGUACCGUAUGAAUAAGGACCGGCUAAUUCCGUGCCAGCAGCCGCGGUAAUACGGAAGGUUCGGGCGUUAUCCGGAUGUAUUGGGGUUAAAGGGAGCGUCGGCCGCAUGUCAAGCGUGCUGUGAAAUGUCCGGGCUCAACCCGGGCCUUGCAGCGCAAACUGGCGUGCUUGAGUGAGCGGAAAGCAGGCGGAAUUCGUGGUGUAGCGGUGAAAUGCUUAGAUAUGACGAAGAACCCCGAUUGCGAAGGCAGCUUGCUGCAGCGGAACUGACGCUGAUGCUCGAAAGCGCGGGUAUCGAACAGGAUUAGAUACCCUUGUAGUC